UAAGGAAUAUUGGUCAAUGGAGGCAACUCUGAACCAGCCAUGCCGCGUGCAGGAAGACGGCCCUAUGGGUUGUAAACUGCUUUUAUACCGGAAUAAACCCUUUUACGUGUAGAAGGUUGAAUGUACGGUAGGAAUAAGGAUCGGCUAACUCCGUGCCAGCAGCCGCGGUAAUACGGAGGAUCCAAGCGUUAUCCGGAUUUAUUGGGUUUAAAGGGUGCGUAGGCGGCCUGUUAAGUCAGGGGUGAAAGACGGUGGCUCAACCAUCGCAGUGCCUUUGAUACUGACGGGCUUGAAUGCAGCUGAGGUAGGCGGAAUGUGACAAGUAGCGGUGAAAUGCAUAGAUAUGUCACAGAACACCAAUUGCGAAGGCAGCUUACUAAAGUGUGAUUGACGCUGAGGCACGAAAGCGUGGGGAUCAAACAGGAUUAGAUACCCUGGUAGUCCACGCCCUAAACGAUGAAUACUCGAUGUUAGCGAUAUACAGUUAGCGUCCAAGCGAAAGCGUUAAGUAUUCCACCUGGGGAGUACGCCCGCAAGGGUG
rnacentral:rRNA from 1 species